UACAGAGGGUGCAAGCGUUAAUCGGAAUUACUGGGCGUAAAGCGUGCGUAGACGGUUAUGUAAGUCAGAUGUGAAAGCCCCGGGCUCAACCUGGGAAUUGCAUUUGAGACUGUGUAGCUAGGGUGCGGAAGAGGGAAGCGGAAUUUCCGGUGCAGCGGUGAAAUGCGUAGAUAUCGGAAGGAACACCAGUGGCGAAAGCGGCUUCCUGGUCCAGCACCGACGUUCAGGCACGAAAGCGUGGGGAGCAAACAGG
rnacentral:rRNA from 1 species